AUUGAACGCUGGCGGCAGGCCUAACACAUGCAAGUCGAACGAGCGGCGGACGGGUGAGUAAUGUCUGGGAAACUGCCUGCUGGAGGGGGAUAACUACUGGAAACGGUAGCUAAUACCGCAUACCAUCGGAUGUGCCCAGAUGGGAUUAGCUAGUAGGUGGGGUAAAGGCUCACCUAGGCGACGAUCCCUAGCUGGUCUGAGAGGAUGACCAGCAACACUGGAACUGAGACAUGGUCCAGACUCCGACGGGAGGCAGCAGGGGGGAAUAUUGCACAAUGGGCGCAAGCCUGAUGCAGCCAUGCCGCGUGUGUGAAGAAGGCCUUCGGGUUGUAAAGCACUUUCAGCGAGGAGGCGUUACUCGCAGAAGAAGCACCGGCUAACUCCGUGCCAGCAGCCGCGGUAAUAC
rnacentral:rRNA from 1 species